GUAGCUGACUAAGCUUACUUCGUAACGGCCAAUGGCCAUUCGUUCUCGACUCUAUCGAGCUUACGCGAACGAUCCUCUCGGUGUCAAGUGGUCAUCUAGCGAGAGUUAGGUGUUUUAAAAGAGGAUAAACUUAAGUGCCGAACAGAGAGCAAGUAGCUAAGUGUCCGUGAUCGAUGACGCGAUGGUUUCAUACGAUCCUCAUUGUGUUCGUUAAAUACGUCGUAAUUUAAAAGUUCGAUUGAAAUCGUCAGAGAAGAUGAAUCCAAGUUAGGAAAAAAUCGUUCAAACGUGAAAGUUGUUAAAAAAAGAUAAUUUUAAAAUAAUUGUAAAUAUAUAUGUUCACACUGUGUGAUAAUGUUAUGUCUAUAAUGUAUAAAGGUAAUAAAAAAAUGAGAUAUAUUAUUUUUUAGAAAAUUAAAAAUAGAUCAGAUACACGUAUACACUUAUCUAAGAAACGAACAAAUGUGAAUGAAAACAGAGAAAAAUAUUUGAAACGAACGUUUCGAAGAAGCACAAUGAUAUAAUAUUUGUUUGACUUUGCAAUGAUCUUGAAAAAAUUUAUGAAGUGUUAUUUUCGAGAUGUUUACAUGUUUCCAGAUAAAUUAUUCGUACUAAAUGCGAUGCUUGGAAAACAACUAAUAUGUCACGUAUGUCAUGCGUGUUAAUGAAAGUAUUAAUUGAAGUAUUAAACAGGAACGUUUCAUUGAUUUUUAAUGAGCUAUAAAAACAGAAAUACGAUAGAAUCUGUAUUAUUUAAAUAUUCCAAUAUUCGAAAGUUAUAAUAAUCGAACAAUUUAUCAACAAACUUCACUUGAUAUUUGCAAUAUUAACAAUGUGAAUGUUUUUUUCUUAAUAUAAUAGAAAUGGGAUUUAAUUUAAAAUUGACAUUAUAAACGCUCAUAUGAUAUAGGCUUUUGAGUGAGAGGAAAGAACAUCUCAUAAUUACAUAAAGAGUUAAAAUUAAAAAAAAAGAAAAUUUUUAAUAAAUUAUUUUUUUGUAGGUAGAUUUUAAAAUUAAUUUCAUUCUUUUAAAUGGAACCAUUUGUUUAAAAACCAUCGAUUUAGGAGAUAUUUAAAUCUAAAUUUAAUCGUUUUAUGUUAUUAAAACCUGAGAAGAUAAUCACUUUUAAUUGACUCGAUACAUAAAACAUAUCUAUUUUUUUUAUUAUGGUGAACAGAUUUAAUUGAUGGUUAAGAAAAACUCAUGAAAGCAAAGCCAAUAAUCCAUAAAAUUUAUAUUCUGAUUUUGAUAAACUAAUAAUAAAAAAAAUUAUUUUCUUUAAUGGCUAUUGCUUUUAAUUAAACAAAACACGAAAUUACGAUAUACGGAUUGAGCAAUAAUAGAUGCGAUCAUUCGGCAUGGAAUGAUGCACAAGGAUGAUAGCUCUUCGACACAAAAUAAAUCAAUAAACACAUUCAAAAUUAUAUUGUUUCGUUUAAAAAAAAUAAAGUUAACCUCGAAAACCUAA